UCCGAGGUGGUGUAACGGCUAGCAUUCGACGCUUUCAUAAAUUAUUGACCCGUCGCGACCGGGGUUCGACCCCCCGUCUCGGAA